rnacentral:lncRNA from 1 species
GGCGCGCACAGCACAGGCCCUCUCUCAAGGUCACCACCUCCACUCCCGUUGUAUGCUGGGAUUGUAGUCCGGCCGCCCUGUGACUAACGGCUGGAACCGCCUAAGACACCACCCCAGCCAGCAUGGCCGGCAGGAGCGCACCGCGCUGUCUCCCUCCAGGGAUCCGCACCGCCCUACAAUCCUGCUUUGUGCUGAGAUUGUAGUCCUGCAGGCGUACAACUAACAAGCUGGGUGCAGAUAAGAGACUACAGCUCCCCGCAUCCCAAGCAAAGGUCCCUCCUCUACGGAGCCCCUCCACGCGUCCACUGCGGUUCCGCCGUGCCAAGGGGAGCUUGGCUGUUCACGGGCCUCACCUGCUAGCGAGAAGAUAGCUUGGCCGGGCGGCUGAUCUCACCUUGUAAUUCUGACACUGUGUCUCCCGGGCUUGUCGGCUUCAUGACUUGUGCCCAAAGUUUGAUUUCUCGCAGACCAGGAGGACCCAUUGGACCCCCGGGCUGGCUGCAGGGCCCACACCUGGGUUAGACCUCGCACAGGGACGCUGCUGCCACUGUAAUAAAGCGUGCCUACACGCUUCUGAAACUGGUGUAGGAACAACCUCAGUUCUGUGAAAGGCGGACGCAGCAGGACAGAAUCUCCGUGGACAUCUGUCUGGAGGAGCAAUUUUACUGCGACAUUUUAAAGAAACAAAUUUAAUUGAUUUCCAAGGCUAGAGUGUGACAGAAAUCUAAAAGAUCAACUUCAUCGUGCAGGAAGGAGCAUAGAAAAAUAGAGAAAAGAAGAAAACAGCAAACCAUUCUGAGUACCGUGGAAACAAACUAAAAGUGGGCUUAGAAGGAAAACAGAGGAAGAAGGUCUGAGUAGUCCCAGGGACUCCAGAGGCCAAGAUGGGAAAGCCACCCAGGCGAGACAGGGGAGAUGGAAGCCACAGGGAAUCACUAUCACAUACCUCUGCUGGACCUGAAUGGUCCUGGCGCCAGCUAGAGCCAUCUGGUCGACCUUAGACAUGUCAAGGCAGGAGCCAUCUGAUCGACCUUAGACUUGGCAAGCUGGUGGCUAAGUCCAGUGCUCACUGCCGACAUCUGUCUCAAAAUAAACAAAAAGUCCAACAGUGAAUAUUUAACAAUAACAAAAAUAUAAUACCAAACAAUAUUAAAGACCAAUAAAUAAGUGGGAGUGAACAAAGGUAAAAGGUAACUAAUAUCACAAUUAAAAUAUUCUGCUAUCUCUCACUCUCUCUCUUCCCCUUUCCAUUUGUCACACCCAGGCUGGAAUGUGACAAAAAAAUAUAAAAGGUCAAUUUCAUCAUGCAGGAAUGAGUGUAGAAAAAGGGAGAAAAGAACAAAGAAGAAAAACAACAGCAAGUCUCUCUAAAACUUCAGUUAGUUUCACUGUAGAAAAAAAAAUUGAAAGUGGGGUUAGGAAAAAAAGGAAGGAGGAGGAUAAGUUCAGGUAGCCUGAGGGACUAGGGAAGCCAAGUGGGAAGACCACCUGGGUGACACUGGGAAGAUCGAGACCACAGUGAAUCAUGAUCACAUCCCUCUGCUGUACCUGAAUAGUACUUCCAAAGGCAGGAGCCAUCUGGUCAUCCUUAGUCAUGGCAAGGCGAGAGCCAUCUGGUUGACCUUAGAUAAGGUGAGAGCCAUCUGGUUGACCUUAGACUUGGCAAGCUGGCAGCUAAGUCCAAUCCUCUCAGCUGACAUCUUGGAGAGAGAGACAGACAGACAGACACAAACAGCGAGACAGGAGAAAAUCUUAAUUGUGUUAUUAAUUACUUUUCACCUUUGUUCACUCCAAACAGAAAAAAAUCCAACAGUGAAUAUUUAACAAUAACAAAGAUAUAACUACAAACAAUAUUAAAGACAAAUAAAUGGGAGUGAACAAAGGUAACAGGUAAUUAAUAUCACAAUUAAAUUCUUCUAAUCUCUUUCUAUCUCUCACUCUCGAUUUCUCUCUGUCAACUUCAUCAAGCAGGAAGGAGCACAGGAAAAUAUAAAGAGAAAACAAGAAAAAAAUAGAAAGUCACUCUAAGGACUGUGGAAACAAACUGAAAGUAAGGUUAGGAAAAACAAAGGAAGGAUGUCGAAAUAGUCUGAGGGAAUCAGGAGGCCGAGAUCAUCAGAAGGCCACCCUGUAGAGACCUGGAAGACGCCCAGGGCACAGUGAAUCACGAUCCGAUCCCUCUGCUGGACCUGAAUGGUACUGCUGCUGCUGAGAGCCAUCCUCUCGACCCUAGACUUACCAAGCUGGUGGCUAAAUACAACCCUCGUGGGAAGAUCUGUCUCAAAAGAAAAAAAUCCAACAGGGAAUAUUUAACAGUAACAAAGAACUAACCAUAACAAUAUUAAAGACAAAUAAAUAAGUGGGAGUGAACAAAGGUGAAAGGUCAAUUAUAUCACAAUUAAGAUCUUCUCUCUCUUUCUCCAUUUGUCACAACCAGGCUGGAUUGUUCCAAAAAAAAAAAAUCUAGAAGGUCAAAUUCAUCAUGCAGGAAGGAGGGUAAGAAUAUAUAUAGAGAGAAAAGAACAGAGAAGAAAUACAACAGCAACUCACUGUAAGUACU